rnacentral:rRNA from 1 species
GAUGAACGCUGGCGGCGUGCUUAACACAUGCAAGUCGAACGAUGAAGCUCAGCUAGAUGGGUGGAUUAGUGGCCAACGGGAGAGUAACACGUGAGUAACAUGCCCUUAACUCUGGGCUAAGCCAGGGAAACUGGGUCUAAUAACGGAUAGGUGCGACUACCGCAUGGUGGGUGUUGGAAAGAUUUAGCGGUUUUGGAUGGACUGGCGGCCUAUCAGCUUGUCGGUGAGGUAUUGGCACACCAAGGCGUAGACGGGUAGCCGGCCUGAGAGGGUGACCUGCCACACUACGACUGGGAUACGGCACAGACUCGAAUGGGACGCAGCGGUGGGGAAGAGUGCACAACAGACGGGAGCCUGAUGCGACGACGCCGCGUGGGGGAAAGCGGCCUGUAGGUUGGAAACCUCUUUCAGUAGAGAAGAGGCGAAAGUGACGGUACCUGCAUAAGAAGCACCGGCUAACUACGUG